GACACUAUGGCGGAGUGGUUAACGCGGUGCCCUGCUAAACGGCGCUUAGUCGCUGUAAGUUUAGGCAUUUCCUUCGGGAGCGCAGGUUCGAAUCCUGCUGGUGUCG
rfam:Emmonsia pasteuriana TAMH 9510 supercont1.10, whole genome shotgun sequence.